AGGACGAACGCUGGCGGCGUGCUUAACACAUGCAAGUCGAACGGAAAGGCCCUUCGGGGUACUCGAGUGGCGAACGGGUGAGUAACACGUGGGUGAUCUGCCCUGCACUUCGGGAUAAGCCUGGGAAACUGGGUCUAAUACCGGAUAUGAUCACAUGCCUCAUGGUGUGUGGUGGAAAGCUUUUGCGGUGUGGGAUGGGCCCGCGGCCUAUCAGCUUGUUGGUGGGGUAAUGGCCUACCAAGGCGACGACGGGUAGCCGGCCUGAGAGGGUGUCCGGCCACACUGGGACUGAGAUACGGCCCAGACUCCUACGGGAGGCAGCAGUGGGGAAUAUUGCACAAUGGGCGCAAGCCUGAUGCAGCGACGCCGCGUGGGGGAUGACGGCCUUCGGGUUGUAACCCCUUUCAGCACAGACGAAGCGCAAGUGACGGUAUGUGCAGAAGAAGCACCGGCCAACUACGCGCCAGCAGCCGCGGU
rnacentral:rRNA from 1 species